rnacentral:rRNA from 1 species
UACGGGGGGAGCAAGCGUUGUUCGGAUUUACUGGGCGUAAAGGGUUCGUAGGCGGUGUGGCAAGUCGGGAGUGAAAUUUCUGGGCUCAACUCAGAGACUGCUUCCGAAACUGCUGUGCUUGAGUGUGGGAGAGGCGCGUGGAAUUGCAGGUGUAGCGGUGAAAUGCGUAGAUAUCUGCAGGAACACCCGUGGCGAAAGCGGCGCGCUGGACCACUACUGACGCUGAGGAACGAAAGCUAGGGGAGCAAACAGG